CCUUCGGGUCUAGUGGCGCACGGGUGCGUAACGCGUGGGAACCUGCCUUUAGGUUCGGAAUAACUUCCCGAAAGGGAUGCUAAUACCGGAUAAUGUCUUCGGACCAAAGAUUUAUCGCCUUUAGAUGGGCCCGCGUAGGAUUAGCUUGUUGGUGGGGUAAUGGCCUACCAAGGCGACGAUCCUUAGCUGGUCUGAGAGGAUGAUCAGCCACACUGGGACUGAGACACGGCCCAGACUCCUACGGGAGGCAGCAGUGGGGAAUAUUGGACAAUGGGCGAAAGCCUGAUCCAGCAAUGCCGCGUGAGUGAUGAAGGCCUUAGGG
rnacentral:rRNA from 1 species